UACAGGGGGGGCAAGCGUUGUUCGGAAUUACUGGGCGUAAAGGGCUCGUAGGCGGCCAACUAAGUCCGACGUGAAAUCCCCGGGCUUAACCUGGGAACUGCAGUCGAGACUGUCUAGCUAGAGUAUGGGAGAGGGAAGUGGAAUUUCAGGUGUAGCGGUGAAAUGCGUAGAUAUCGGAAGGAACACCGGUGGCGAAAGCGGCGCGCUGGACCUCUUCUGACGCUGAGGCGCGAAAGCCAGGGGAGCAAACGGG
rnacentral:rRNA from 1 species